AUUGAACGCUGGCGGCAUGCUUUACACAUGCAAGUCGAACGGGCUUAGGGGCUUGCUCCUAAGUUAGUGGCGAACGGGUGAGUAAUGCAUCGGAACGUACCGUGUAGUGGGGGAUAAUCCGGCGAAAGUCGGAUUAAUACAGCAUACGAUCCAAGGAUGAAAGCAGGGGAUCGCAAGACCUUGCGAUAUACGAGCGGCCGAUGUCGGAUUAGCUAGUUGGUAAGGUAAAGGCCUACCAAGGCAACGAUCCGUAGCGGGUCUGAGAGGAUGAUCCGCCACAGUGGGACUGAGACACGGCCCAGACUCCUACGGGAGGCAGCAGUGGUGAAUUUUGGACAAUGGGCGAAAGCCUGAUCCAGCCAUGCCGCGUGAGUGAAGAAGGCCUUCGGGUUGUAAAGCUCUUUUGUCCGGGAGCAAAUCAUGUUCACUAAUACUGAGCGGGGCUGAGAGUACCGGAAGAAUAAGCACCGGCUAACUACGUGCCAGCAGCCGCGGUAAGAC
rnacentral:rRNA from 1 species